UGCCAGCAGCCGCGGUAAUACGGGGGGCGCAAGCGUUAUUCGGAAUUAUUGGGCGUAAAGGGCGCGUAGGCGGUCUUAUCGGUCAGAUGUGAAAGCCCAGGGCUCAACCCUGGACGUGCAUUUGAAACAGUAAGACUUGAGUAUGGGAGAGGAAAGCGGAAUUCCUGGUGUAGAGGUGAAAUUCGUAGAUAUCGGAAGGAACACCGGUGGCGAAGGCGACUUCCUGGGCCAAUACUGACGCUGAGGCGCGAAAGCGUGGGUAGCAAACAGGAUUAGAUA
rnacentral:rRNA from 1 species